CCGUCCUAGUCUCAACCAUAAACGAUGCCGACCAGGGAUCGGCGGAUGUUGCUUAUAGGACUCCGCCGGCACCUUAUGAGAAAUCAAAGUCUUUGGGUUCCGGGGGGAGUAUGGUAACAAGGCUGAAACUUAAAGGAAUUGACGGAAGGGCACCACCAGGCGUGGAGCCUGCGGCUUAAUUUGACUCAACACGGGGAAACUUACCAGGUCCAGACAUAGCAAGGAUUGACAGACUGAGAGCUCUUUCUUGAUUCUAUGGGUGGUGG
rnacentral:ncRNA from 1 species